rnacentral:rRNA from 1 species
UCCAGACUCCUACGGGAGGCAGCAGUGGGGGAUAUUGCACAAUGGGGGGAACCCUGAUGCAGCGACGCCGCGUGGGUGAAGGAGCGUUUCGGCGCGUAAAGCCCUAUCGGCAGGGAAGAAGGAGGACGGUACCUGACUAAGAAGCCCCGGCUAACUACGUGCCAGCAGCCGCGGUAAUACGUAGGGGGCAAGCGUUAUCCGGAUUUACUGGGUGUAAAGGGGGCGCAGACGGCAGCGCAAGCCAGGAGUGAAAGCCCGGGGCCCAACCCCGGGACUGCUCUUGGAACUGCGCGGCUGGAGUGCAGGAGGGGCAGGCGGAAUUCCUGGUGUAGCGGUGAAAUGCGUAGAUAUCAGGAGGAACACCGGUGGCGAAGGCGGCCUGCUGGACUGCGACUGACGUUGAGGCUCGAAAGCGUGGGGAGCAAACAGGAUUAGAUACCCCGGUA